UACGGGGGGGGCGAGCGUUGUCCGAAGUUACUGGGCGUAAAGGGCGCGUAGGCGGGGUGCCAAGUCCGCUGUGAAAGCCUGGAGCUUAACUCCAGCGGGUCGGUGGAUACUGGCACUCUUGAAGGCGUUAGGGGAAGAUGGAAUUACCCGUGGAGCGGUGAAAUGCGUAGAGAUGGGUAGGAACACUGGUGGCGAAGGCGGUCUUCUGGGACGUCCUUGACGCUGAGGCGCGAAAGCUGGGGGAGCGAACGGG
rnacentral:rRNA from 1 species